rnacentral:Y_RNA from 1 species
GGCUGGUCCGAUUGGUAGUGGGUUAUCAGAACUUAUUAACAUUAGUGUCAUUAAAGUUGGUAUACUAUCCUCCACUGCUAAAUUUGACUGGCUUUAA